rnacentral:rRNA from 1 species
GAUGAACGCUGGCGGCGUGCCUAAUACAUGCAAGUCGAGCGAACAGACGAGGAGCUUGCUCCUCUGACGUUAGCGGCGGACGGGUGAGUAACACGUGGAUAACCUACCUAUAAGACUGGGAUAACUUCGGGAAACCGGAGCUAAUACCGGAUAAUAUAUUGAACCGCAUGGUUCAAUAGUGAAAGACGGUUUUGCUGUCACUUAUAGAUGGAUCCGCGCCGCAUUAGCUAGUUGGUAAGGUAACGGCUUACCAAGGCAACGAUGCGUAGCCGACCUGAGAGGGUGAUCGGCCACCCUGGAACUGAGACACGGUCCAGACUCCUACGGGAGGCAGCAGUCGGGAAUCUUCCGCAAUGGGCGAAAGCCUGACGGAGCAACGCCGCGUGAGUGAUGAAGGUCUUCGGAUCGUAAAACUCUGUUAUUAGGGAAGAACAAAUGUGUAAGUAACUAUGCACGUCUUGACGGUACCUAAUCAGAAAGCCACGGCUAACUACGUG